rnacentral:rRNA from 1 species
UACGUAGGGUGCAAGCGUUGUCCGGAAUUAUUGGGCGUAAAGAGCUCGUAGGCGGUCUGUCGCGUCGGCUGUGAAAACUCGGGGCUCAACUCCGAGCUUGCAGUCGAUACGGGCAGGCUAGAGUUCGGCAGGGGAGACUGGAAUUCCUGGUGUAGCGGUGAAAUGCGCAGAUAUCGGAAGGAACACCUGUGGCGAAAGCGGCUCACUGGACCAUUCUGACGCUGAUGCACGAAAGCUAGGGGAGCAAACAGG